AAACAUCUCCCAAAGUCCUGCCAAUCUGACCUGGUGGGAAAAUUGUUUUCCCAGCCCAAGUCUGGUGAUCAGUUUGACCCUGAGCAUGUGCAAGUCACACA